rnacentral:snRNA from 1 species
GUGCUCGUUUUGGCAGCACAUAUACUAAAAUUGGAACGAUACAGAAAAGAUUAGCAUGGCCCCCGCGCAAGGAUGACACACAAAUUCAUGAAGCAUUCCAUAUUUUU